rnacentral:rRNA from 1 species
CGCGUAGGCGGCCUUCUAAGUCGAACGUGAAAUCCCUGGGCUUAACCCAGGAACUGCGUCCGAUACUGGAAGGCUUGAAUCCGGGAGAGGGAUGCGGAAUUCCAGGUGUAGCGGUGAAAUGCGUAGAUAUCUGGAGGAACACCGGUGGCGAAGGCGGCACCCUGGACCGGUAUUGACGCUGAGGCGCGAAAGCCAGGGGAGGCAAACG